AUGUACUUCAGGGGCAGUUGGAUGGAAUGUCCAACUGACAGCAGCAAAGCGAAGCCCUCUCUACCUCCCUCUCCAUUAAUUCUUCACUGGCAUGUUCAGGAUCUUGGCCUCACUCCAGGCUCAGGCUUUUUCUCUGUCUUCAUGCUUUCUUUUUGUUUUCAAAUUAUUUUUUAUCUAGACCAAUUUUCCAUAAUGCUUUCAACUUUUCUAGCAUGAACUGAAAUCUGGUCCCCAACUAUAAAUCUAUGUGAUGACAAUCUUCGAUAUAUGUCCGGACGCUAUGUGAAUAUGGAGGAUGAUAGAGAAUGGAAAGAGGGUACUGCUAGUCUGUAGGGCUAAAUGUAGAAGGCGCUGAGGAGGGGAGCUCAUGACAAUUUUCAUCUGCUGCUGCUUUUUUGGCUAUCUUACCUUCAUCAGCAAAGCUUAUUCCAGAUUCAAAGGUCAAGUGCCUCCAACUAAACCUUUGAAUUCAUCAUUCUUCUCAUAGACAUUUUGCACUGUAUUAAAGAGUUCCUCAACAUUUUCCUCUUCCAAAGUCAGCAUCACUUUCAGAGUUUUGUCUGGAAGUGACUUAUCAUGGGAUUUACUUGGUGUCCUUAUUUAAAAUGUGAAUUCCCAGUCCCCACUUCAGACCCAGUAAAUUGGAAUGAGGGGGCAGCAAUCUAUAGUUUUAAUGUGCGCCCCUGGUGAUUCUUAGGUUCGUUAAACUUUGAAAAGCAUUGACCAAGGUCCUUCCCCAAAUAUUCAUUAGUGGAUCAGUAAAUAGCAGUUAACUGAAGAAUGUUUGUUGUGUUUCGGCAAGGAACUCUUCCCCAGCAUCAUGACUCACUCACUGAAGAAUAGGCCAAGAUUGAGAUCAAUGUCCUGCAUCAAUGGUGUCCAGUAUCUGAAAACUGAUAUUUCUUAGACUUUCAAGGAGAUUGGAACCACCAGGUCCAUCUGGAUAUCCCACAGAAGACCACACUGACCCAUUAUUACACUGAUGACAUCAUGCUGAUUGGGCAAGACAAGCAAGCGGAAGGAAGGCCCACAGAAGCUGCCGUGUGAACAUGUGUGGAGAUGUGAAUCCAUACAGCACAAAGGGUGGACUGUGACACCUAUGAGGUGUGUUGCACAGAUAUUUUUAAGAGAGAAGCUACUGUAAGGAUGAUCGUUAGCUGACAGCCUCCAACUGCUUUGGGAUCUACUGCUGCAUUCAGCCCAAAGUCAUUCUUUACUUAGCUUGCUCUCAAUCAAUGAGUAAGCAUGACAGGGGUACUGGAGCCAAGCUUUUUCUUUCCUGUGUCUGGCAAUCUUUGCUCUGAGGCUCCAAUCAGCCUGGCUGACGCUGCCUUAGAGCUGCAUUGCAGCCUGACAUUUUCCCCUCUCUAUCCUCCUUCUUUCCUCUUAUUUUUCUGUACAUAUCAGAUCUGCGUGAUGGUCUGAGACUCUUCCUGUAUACUUCUGUUUUCUCUCCCCUUUUAUUUUUGCCAAUGAAUGCUUUGUACCUCUCAUUUCAUCUUGGUGCCUGCUUCCUGGAGGACCCAAACGGAUGAAAUAUACUUGUUUUAAUUUUAAUGUAAUUACUGAUAUAUAUUUAUUAUCCUGAUGUUUGCCUUCUAGUUGUCUUAACUAUGUUUAAUCUCUUUUUCCUUCUUUUGACUUGUUUUAAAUUAUA